rnacentral:lncRNA from 1 species
UUUUUUUUUUUUUUUUUAAAUUCCCAGGCGGGGAUCUGUAUUCUGGUCACAAGAAUUUUACUGUGGUGGGCAGAAGAAGGGACCCUCUCCCAAAAUAUCUACAUUCCAAUUCUAGAUCCUGUAAAUAUGUUAUGUGACAUAUAGCACAGCAUAACAAAUGAUUAAGGACCUUGAGAGAGAGGAUUAUCAGGGAACAUCAGGGUGGGCCCAGUGUAACCACAAGGGUCCUGACAAGAGGAAGGCAGAAGGCAGAUGUGAGUAAAGCAAAGGAGUGUUGGUCAUGGCGUGUAUACGGUCAACCAGCCCUGGUGGCUUGAGGGAGGCUCCACAAGCCAAGGACUAUAAGUGGCCCCCAGAAGCUGGAAAAGGCAAAGAAACAGAGUAUCCACUAGAGAACGAUCCAGGAAGGAACACAGCUCUAAUAAUAUGUUAGUCUCACACAGUCAGGGUUCUCCAGAGAAAUAGAACCAGCAGGAGACUGAUCAAGAGGAACUCGCAUGAUUGGGGGGCUGAGAAGUCCCAUAAUCUGUCAUCUGUAGAGUGGGGACCCAGGAAAACUGAUAGUGUCAUUCAAUGUGAGUCCAAGGAUCUGACAACCAGAGGAACAGAAGGUAUAAAUCUCAGGGCAAGGGCAGGAAAAGUUGAGAGGAGAUGUUUCAGCUCCAGCAGUGAGACAGGAAAACAGGGAAUUAAUUCCUCUUUCCUCUGGUUUUUGUUCCCAUCAGGAUCCCAGGGGACUGGAUGAGGCCCACCUCAUUGUGAAGGACACUCUGCUUUGCUGAAUCCUCUCAUUCCAAUGCUAAUCUCAUCAGGGAACACCCUCACAGACACAACCAGAAAUGCUGUUUAAUCUGGGCACCCCAUGGCCCAAUCUGAGGAACACCUCAAACAAACUGUCACACCCAGUGGGACUAAAUCUGGACUUGUGAUGUAUGGAACUAGAAGGUAGUAAGUCUCCACUGUGGUAAACCACGGAGCUUGCAGUAGUUACAACAGCAAUCAAGGUAACAGGUACGAGUCAGGACAGUCUGGCAGUCUGGUUGUUAGGAGAUGAGACCACAAUCAGGCUGGCUGGGUUUGGACCCCUUCUGUCACUUACGUGCUUCUGGUCUUAGCCAAGCUUCCUAAACUGGUAUCCUGAGAGAGGACGUGGUAAGGCCUGCACCUGUGCAACUUGCUGUUACUGAAGCAGAUCCUAAGACAAGGUUUCAAAUGCCAGAGUUUAUCUUGGAAUCCAGAGGGCAUCCGUGGGGGGUGGGGAAGGGAUAC